GACGAACCGUGCAAACGUUGUUCGGAAUCACUGGGCUUAAAGGGCGCGUAGGCGGACUCGCCAGUCUGUGGUGAAAGCCCCCGGCUCAACCGGGGAAGUGCCGUGGAUACUGCGAGUCUGGAGGAGGGUAGGGGCAUCUGGAACGCUGGGUGGAGCGGUGAAAUGCGUUGAUAUCCAGCGGAACUCCGGUGGUGAAGGCGAGGUGCUGGACCCUUUCUGACGCUGAUGCGCGAAAGCCAGGGGAGCAAACGGG
rnacentral:rRNA from 1 species